UGGGGAAUCUUGCGCAAUGGGCGAAAGCCUGACGCAGCGACGCCGCGUGAGGGAAGAAGGCCUUCGGGUUGUAAACCUCUUUCAGGAGGGACGAAGCCACUCGGGUUAAUAGCCCAGAGGGUGACGGUACCUCCAGAAGAAGCCCCGGCUAACUACGUGCCAGCAGCCGCGGUAAUACGUAGGGGGCGAGCGUUGUCCGGAUUUAUUGGGCGUAAAGAGCGUGUAGGCGGCCCGACAGGUCCGUUGUGAAACUCGAGGCUCAACCUCGAGACGUCGAUGGAAACCGUCGGGCUAGAGUCCGGAAGAGGAGAGUGGAAUUCCUGGUGUAGCGGUGGAAUGCGCAGAUAUCAGGAGGAACACCCGUGGCGAAAGCGGCUCUCUGGGACGGUACUGACGCUGAGACGCGAAAGCGUGGGAGCGAACAGGAUUAGAUACCCUGGUAGUCCACGCCGUAAACGAUGGGUGCUAGGUGUGGGCGGUGUCGACUCCGUCCGUGCCGAAGCUAACGCAUUAAG
rnacentral:rRNA from 1 species